UGACAGACUGACUUUGACACCAACCAAAACAUGAAAACACAGAUUUGUUAAUUUGUUUGUAUUGCGAGUGAAAAUAAAGGCUUUUUCACAGAUGGUUUCUUGAUAAAAUAUUCCAUGAUUCCCAGGCCCUGGCUAAGCAAAUUACGAAGAAGAAAAUUUAUGUGGAUCGAGCAUAAAAUUUGAACAUUACAGGUGCCAUUUGGGGAAAUUAGCUCAGUAAGAGACUGGUUACACAUAGAAGGCCCGGUUGAUAAACCACCAAGUGAAAUAACACCACGACCUGUAAAUGGAUUUUCGUGCACAAGAACAGAGAUAAGUGGUAAAAGAUUCUGGGGACUAUUCAAGGAUAUAUGUGAAACACCUGAAAACUUCUUCCGCACAAGCUUUGUGUACAACUAUUUGCCUCAGCAAUGGAUGAAAAACAAUGGGUGCAAUUUAACACCAGGGGAUUUUAGGGUAGCACAAAUGCAACCGUUAUUUGAAAUAUGCGACCCAAUAUUUAUUAAAAUUCUUCAAUUGUAUGAUGUCGAGACAAUAGUGGCAGUUGGAAAAUUUUGUGAAACUCGCGCACAGAGGGCGCUACACCGUUAUUUACCUGGAAAUUGCAUACAGAUUUUGUAUUUGCCUCAUCCAAGCCCAAGAACCGUCAACAACAAUAAUUGGGACAAAAAGGCUAUUGAUUGCUUGAAAAACCUGAAUUUACUAAAACACUACACCAAGACUGAAUGAACUAGUUAGAGAUGAAUCAUUAAUUUGAAGAUUUUAUUUUUAAUACUCAGAAUUUUCAAGAUUAUUAAAGAUAUAGUUAGGUAAACUAGUUUGUACUUACCAAGGAUGAUUGAAUUUAUGAAUCAAGCGUUAGAGCUAGCCAAAGAAGCUUUGGAGGCGAAAGAAGUACCAGUCGGAUGUGUGUUCGCCGUGGACGGAGUUAUCGUCGCCAAAUCACGCAACUGCGUAAACCUCACGCGUAACCCCACCAGGCAUGCCGAGAUAAACUGCAUAGACCAAGUAAUUGAAUACUGUAUGCUUAGUAAUAUAGACCAUAAGGCUUAUUUUAAGAAAGUGUCCGUUUAUGUGACAGUUGAGCCGUGCAUCAUGUGUGCUGCCGCUCUCAACAAUCUCAAUGUUUUAGAAGUUGUUUAUGGAUGUGCUAACGAUAGAUUCGGUGGUAAGACAGUCUUGAAUGUUAGUCAGUUUUACCAAAACAGCUACAAAUUAAAUGGGAAUUUAAUGGCGGAUGAAGCAAUGUCCCUAUUGAAGCAAUUCUACAAAGGAUCUAAUCCGAACGCUCCAGAGUCAAAAGCUAAAAAAAAGAAAGAAUGUGAAUGAUGAUGAUUAUUU